AUUGAACGCUGGCGGAAUGCUUUACACAUGCAAGUCGAACGGCAGCACGGGUGCUUGCACCUGGUGGCGAGUGGCGAACGGGUGAGUAAUGCACCGGAACGUAUCCAAUAAUGGGGGAUAACGCACCGAAAGGUGUGCUAAUACCGCAUACGCCCUGAAGGGGAAAGCGGGGGAUCGUAAGACCUCGCGUUAAUGGAGCGGCCGAUGCCGGAUUAGCUAGUUGGUGAGGUAAAGGCUCACCAAGGCGACGAUCCGUAGCUGGUCUGAGAGGACGACCAGCCACACUGGAACUGAGACACGGUCCAGACUCCUACGGGAGGCAGCAGUGGGGAAUUUUGGACAAUGGGCGCAAGCCUGAUCCAGCCAUUCCGCGUGAGUGAAGAAGGCC
rnacentral:rRNA from 1 species